UACGUAGGGUGCAAGCGUUGUCCGGAAUUAUUGGGCGUAAAGAGCUCGUAGGCGGCUUGUCGCGUCGGCUGUGAAAACCUGGGGCUCAACCCCGGGCCUGCAGCCGAUACGGGCAAGCUAGAAUUCGGUAGGGGAGACUGGAAUUCCUGGUGUAGCGGUGAAAUGCGCAGAUAUCAGGAGGAACACCGGUGGCGAAGGCGGGUCUCUGGGCCGAUAUUGACGCUGAGGCACGAAAGCCAGGGGAGCAAACGGG
rnacentral:rRNA from 1 species